CAGUUAUCUUUAUGACCUGGUCAUCGAGGGGCUGGCAGGGGAGACCACACCUGAGGACGGGGCUCCUCCCGCCCGCACCUGGCUGAGCUGGGGGACUCGGGCGGCGGCGUCCUGCUCUCUUCCUGCCAGUCUUACUACCUGGGCUGGGUGGCAGCUCCAGCCCAGCUCUAACUAGCUCCUCUGCGCCCUGCCUGGCCGCUGGCGGAAGUGCGUCUGCGAACCCCUUCCGGCCUUGCGCCCCAGCUUCCAGCGGCUUCAGAGAGGUGUGCAGCGUGUGGGGUCCCCAGUGCGCGCCGCGGAGUCUCCAAAUGGGGUCACUUGGGCAUGGGGUUUUGUUUCACAACUUGUCUCAUCCGAAAGAAAGGGUUUGAGUUCCAGCUUCGCAGCGUUGAGUCCGUCAGUCCUCCCCGCUCAGGUCGGCAGGCGGGAACCUCCCCAGACUUCAUUUCUGUCCACCGACCUGG
rnacentral:lncRNA from 1 species